UACGGAGGGGGCUAGCGUUGUUCGGAAUUACUGGGCGUAAAGCGCGCGUAGGCGGACCUGCAAGUCGGGGGUGAAAGCCCGAGGCUCAACCUCGGAACUGCCUUCGAUACUGCGGGUCUCGAGUCCGGGAGAGGUGAGUGGAAUUCCUAGUGUAGAGGUGAAAUUCGUAGAUAUUAGGAGGAACACCAGUGGCGAAGGCGGCUCCACUGGCCCGGUACUGACGCUGAGGCGCGAAAGGCGUGGGGAGCGAACGGG
rnacentral:rRNA from 1 species